GAAAGGAAGUUCCGGUCGACAAGCAAAGCAACAGGAAAAGGAUCUAUGAGCUUUCAUUAGAAGAUGCUACUAUGACAUUAGUGGACUAAUUCCACAAAUUUGACUAACUGCUGUAGAUUAGAGAAUAGUCUUGUAUAAACAAAAUUUUAGCUGAGCACAUGACUGCUGAGAAUAAAGACUGUAUUUCCUAGGCUCUAUUGCAGCAAAACAUGGUCUCCUAACUAUCUUCUAACAAGGGGAAAGUCAUGGAUGUGCCACAGGGCAAGUGCUGGGAAUCUUUCUUAAAGAGACAAUUAGCCCUGUGCCUCUUCUUCAUCCCAUCCUCCAUCCUGCUUCAGAGAGGAUGGAUUCUGACCUGGACCAUGAAGAAUGGGGCCACGCCUUAGGAACAGCUGGGCCAUGAACUUGGGGAAAAUUGAGCUUCUAAAGACACUGAGGAGCAGAACCCACACCAACUUGGGUCUGCAAACCUCCAAACUUUUACUUGAAAAGGAAAAAAAGGAUCUUGUGUAAGGCACUGUUAUUUGGUGCUUUCUGGAUGCUAUUGUCUUAACCUAUCCUCAUCAAUACAUCAAUCUUGUAAAAUAUAG
ensembl:lncRNA novel transcript